rnacentral:rRNA from 1 species
CGAAUGCUGACAUAAGUAACGAUAAAGCGGGUGAAAAGCCCGCUCGCCGGAAGACCAAGGGUUCCUGUCCAACGUUAAUCGGGGCAGGGUGAGUCGACCCCUAAGGCGAGGCCGAAAGGCGUAGUCGAUGGGAAACAGGUUAAUAUUCCUGUACUUGGUGUUACUGCGAAGGGGGGACGGAGAAGGCUAUGUUGGCCGGGCGACGGUUGUCCCGGUUUAAGCGUGUAGGCUGGUUUUCCAGGCAAAUCCGGAAAAUCAAGGCUGAGGCGUGAUGACGAGGCACUACGGUGCUGAAGCAACAAAUGCCCUGCUUCCAGGAAAAGCCUCUAAGCAUCAGGUAACAUCAAAUCGUACCCCAAACCGACACAGGUGGUCAGGUAGAGAAUACCAAGGCGCUUGAGAGAACUCGGGUGAAGGAACUAGGCAAAAUGGUGCCGUAACUUCGGGAGAAGGCACGCUGAUAUGUAGGUGAAGUCCCUCGCGGAUGGAGCUGAAAUCAGUCGAAGAUACCAGCUGGCUGCAACUGUUUAUUAAAAACACAGCACUGUGCAAACACGAAAGUGGACGUAUACGGUGUGACGCCUGCCCGGUGCCGGAAGGUUAAUUGAUGGGGUUAGCCGCAAGGCGAAGCUCUUGAUCGAAGCCCCGGUAAACGGCGGCCGUAACUAUAACGGUCCUAAGGUAGCGAAAUUCCUUGUCGGGUAAGUUCCGACCUGCACGAAUGGCGUAAUGAUGGCCAGGCUGUCUCCACCCGAGACUCAGUGAAAUUGAACUCGCUGUGAAGAUGCAGUGUACCCGCGGCAAGACGGAAAGACCCCGUGAACCUUUACUAUAGCUUGACACUGAACAUUGAGCCUUGAUGUGUAGGAUAGGUGGGAGGCUUUGAAGUGUGGACGCCAGUCUGCAUGGAGCCGACCUUGAAAUACCACCCUUUAAUGUUUGAUGUUCUAACGUUGACCCGUAAUCCGGGUUGCGGACAGUGUCUGGUGGGUAGUUUGACUGGGGCGGUCUCCUCCUAAAGAGUAACGGAGGAGCACGAAGGUUGGCUAAUCCUGGUCGGACAUCAGGAGGUUAGUGCAAUGGCAUAAGCCAGCUUGACUGCGAGCGUGACGGCGCGAGCAGGUGCGAAAGCAGGUCAUAGUGAUCCGGUGGUUCUGAAUGGAAGGGCCAUCGCUCAACGGAUAAAAGGUACUCCGGGGAUAACAGGCUGAUACCGCCCAAGAGUUCAUAUCGACGGCGGUGUUUGGCACCUCGAUGUCGGCUCAUCACAUCCUGGGGCUGAAGUAGGUCCCAAGGGUAUGGCUGUUCGCCAUUUAAAGUGGUACGCGAGCUGGGUUUAGAACGUCGUGAGACAGUUCGGUCCCUAUCUGCCGUGGGCGCUGGAGAACUGAGGGGGGCUGCUCCUAGUACGAGAGGACCGGAGUGGACGCAUCACUGGUGUUCGGGUUGUCAUGCCAAUGGCACUGCCCGGUAGCUAAAUGCGGAAGAGAUAAGUGCUGAAAGC